CUACGGAGGGUGCAAGCGUUAACCGGAAUCAUUGGGUUUAAAGGGUCCGUAGGCGGGCUAAUAAGUCAGGGGUGAAAUCCCACAGCUUAACUGUGGAACUGCCCUUGAUACUGUUGGUCUUGAGUUACAGUGAAGUGGUUAGAAUGUGUAGUGUAGCGGUGAAAUGCAUAGAGAUUACACAGAAUACCGAUUGCGAAGGCAGAUCACUAACUGUAUACUGACGCUAAUGGACGGAAGCGUGGGGAGCGAACAGGAUUAGAAACCCUAGUAGUCC
rnacentral:rRNA from 1 species